AAAAAAUUUGUCUAAAAUCAUACUAAGCUACUACUAUUUCUACAUUAAAAAGCUCGAUUUGUGUCGUUUCCUGAUCAUCGUGGUUUCGGGUGAGAGCGCUACCGAAAUACAGAGAUUCCAAAUGAGCCGUUUGCAAGAUUUCAGUUGUUUCUGUCAAUGUUUGCACUGCAGGAGAGACGUUGUAUUGUUCAAACAACCGAUCUGAACAGUUCUGACGCUUUUCAAGGAAAACCUCGCGCUUUGGCCUCGGAAUUCCAACAUUUAUAAGCGUGUUGUUCUGUACACGUUUCUUUCUAAUGAAUGGUAUAAAUAAAACGAUGGCUCAUCAUCAGAAGCUCAAGUUACAAAAGUGCGACUGCAGGGUACCUGCUUGUCAUGAAAUCAAACCACCGGUUAAACACAUCCAGAAACCAAGCAGUAGAAAGAUAUUCGUUUCCUCGGCCUUCUUCUUUCACAAGGUGUAAUGGACACAAAACUACUGUUCAAGUUGUUUGCUUUAACAACGUCAUCAGGUAGAGUGAUGACUUUGCCACUAACCAAAGCUGCCUUAAGAUUCUUUAUUAGGUGAGGAACAUCAGCGAGAAAAUAUAACCAUUUGGUUGGACUUUGAGGAUGUACUACUUUGCUAACAGUAUUGCAGUGUCUUUCAGUAAUGAGGCCAAAGCUUCUCCACAGUGCUUGGUUUGCAGAUCUCAUGUCACUAGUCACAGCUAUGACAUAGUUCCGUCAUUGGAGUUUCCUGUGAAAUGGUAUGCUACUGUCUGUUUCCACCGUGAUGACAGUCCUCCCAACAUAAACACAAGAGCAUGAGUGGCAGUACCACAAUGACCAGGCAAAGUCACAUUCCCAAGCAAUUGUCCACUACUUGCAUUAUACUCAAUACUAGGUGUAAUGGACAUUUCAUCUAAUGUGAGACAGCAGACUCUUUCCUCUUCACACAAAUCAUUUACCUUCACUGCUAAGUAUUCAAAAACUUGCUUGAGUAUGCCAGGCUCAAAUAGAACUGUUUCCAUCCGUCGUUGAAGAGUUCGAAGAGAUGGUAAAGGAAACUGCUGUUUUAAAAAUGACCACCGAAUUCCUCGCAUUCCUCGGGACAAUGCUAGCAGCUGAUCUUCAGCAAAAAGUUUUUUAAUCUUUGAUUCCUGACUUGCCAUUUGCUUACUGUUGUAGAGGAAUCAAUUGAAAGGGUAUUAGAUUCAUCCACAUCUAUAUCUAGAUCUGCCACAUUGGUUUCAUAUGCUACAGAGUCAUGUCGAGUUGCUUCAUCAUCAUUGGAAUUAUGUUCAGCUGUACAUUAAUCAAUUGAGGUAGAUUAGUUAACUUGCAUUAAUUGUACUUGGUUCUUCAUAGUAGUAAUUUAAACAAUUGAAAAAUGAAAAACAAUCCCAAGAUUGAAGAAACUUCUACUAAACUUUGAAAUUAUGUCUACAUGUGUGCCUGUUGUCGUUAUUGCGUGUGUGUGUUCUAUCAUGUGUAAUUUGCAGUUUUCUUUGUAGUUUUAUAAAUAUAGUACAGUUGAUUUAGAUGUUAUUAAUUAAGUGAAGAACAAUUCAUGCACUGAUAUAAACGUGUGAACUGUUGCAUAGUGACUUACAUUUUGAAAAUGGUUCUGGUGAAAC